AUGGCCGCGAUGGGUGGGAACCAGAGGCAGACGAUGGAGGAUGCGGCGGAGGACAAGUUCCCGGAGGGGUUGCGCGUGCUCGCGGUGGACGACGACCGUGUCUGCCUCAAAGUACUAGAGGUCCUCUUGCGCCACUGCAAGUACCAGCCAACGAUGGUGAUGGAUGCCAAGACGGCGCUGAAGAUGCUCAGGGCGGGGAAGGAGCAAUUCGACCUGGUCCUCACCGAUGUGCGUAUGCCGGACAUGGACGGCUUCAAGCUCCUCGAGCUCAUCGGCCUCGAGAUGGAUCUGCCCGUCAUCAUGCUAUCAGUGGAUUGCAACAAGAAGGCCGUGAUGAAGGGGAUAAAUCAUGGGGCGUGUGACUAUUUGAUGAAGCCAGUGCAUACCAACGAGCUCAAAAACAUAUGGCAGCAUGUUGAAAGCAGGAGAAGAUCCCAAGCAAUAAGCCACAUGAGUAGAGAUAAUGAUAACAACCACAGAGUACAUCCUGGGACGCUUGCCAGGAAUAAGGACUCCAAGACAAAGAGCAAUGAAAAAGAUGGUUCUAACGAGAACAAAGAGAGCACUCGUGCAUCCACUACUCAGAAGAAUACAAGGGUGAAAUGGACAAUUGAGCUUCAUAACAAGUUUCUAGAAGCUAUCAACCAGAUCGGCCUUGAUAAGGCUGCUCCAAACAAGAUAUUGGAGCUGAUGAAUGUGGAUUGCCUCACUAGACAUAAUAUUGCGAGUCAUCUACAGAAGUAUAGGUUGUACUUGAAUAGAGUCAAACCAAAUUCACUCGGUGAUGCAAGUGAAAGACAGAAUUCAUCCAUGGACAAUCAGAGGAAUUUUAUGCAUAACCAUGAGCAUGAAAGAUGGCAUGUGUCCUCAUGUGGCAUCCCCUCCUGGAGUCCAAACUAUUUCAGUGCAACUAGUCAAUUAGGCCAGCUGAUGGACAGCCAGAGCAGCUUGUGCAUGGGGUCAUUAAUCCAUGGUAGUAGAAUGUCGAGGUAUUUGGUUCCACACACACUGGAUGCGAGAAGAUUUGCUGGUUCCGAAGACCCUCCCAUUAGCCUAGACAAUGGCAUACUCGAUGACAUAAUGUUAGAUGAAUUUUCCUCAUAUAGCUCUGGUACUUCCUACGUUGACUCCAUGCGUGAUAAGCUGAUGGAGACAAGUAAAGGCAAAACCCCAUCAAAUCUUCGAAGUUACUUCACAAACACACCAAGUGGUCGCGGGAGUUCGGCACCCACAAAUGGUACUGGUAGCACUUCAAAAACCGAGACUAAUAUGUUUAACAGUGGCAAAACUAUUUCUACACUUUCCAACUUUCAGACAGAUGGUUUCAUCGCAUUAACUCCAAUGCCUGAUGGUGGGGAUGCGGCUGGCAUUCUCCCUGUGCAAGAAAGUAUGGUUAAUCAACAAGAGCCUAAUGAUCUACUGAAUGACAUUAAUGCCUUCUCAUCGGAUGAUAUUGCCAACCUUCUAAAUGACGAUUUCAUUGGAGAGGAUGCUGUCGUGGAUGGAUAG
rnacentral:rRNA from 1 species